rnacentral:lncRNA from 1 species
UUUCAGAUGCAUAUUGAACGAGAACGUGAGAAUAUGAAACGUCGUUUGACUGCAACAGCAGGACAGCAAGCCACCACAGGCCAGCCAUCAACAUCAUUUAAAUCUGUUUCAUUGCAACCACCAUCAUCUCAAGCAAGUCUUCCUGCUCGGCGUCCUUCAGUACCAAAUCAACCUGUUGCUUCGACUCCUGCACCAAAACGUGACCUGAAGUUAACA